rnacentral:rRNA from 1 species
AAAAGCGUGCGGAGCAAACAUGAUUAGAUACCUUGGUAGUCCACGCCGUAAACGAUGAAUGCCCAGCCGUUGGUCUGCUUGCAGGUCAGUGGCGCCGCUAACGCAUUAAGCAUUCCGCCUGGGGAGUACGGUUGCAAGAUUAAAAUUCAAAGGAAUUGACGGGGGCCCGCACAAGCGGUGGAGCAUGUGGUUUAAUUGAAGCAACGCGCAGAACCUUACCAUCCCUUGACAUGGCAUGUUACCUCGAGAGAUCGGGGAUCCUCUUCGGAGGCGUGCACACAGGUGCUGCAUGGCUGUCGUCAGCUCGUGUCGUGAGAUGUUGGGUUAAGUCCCGCAACGAGCGCAACCCACGUCCUUAGUUGCCAUCAUUCAGUUGGGCACUCUAGGGAGACUGCCGGUGAUAAGCCGCGAGGAAGGUGUGGAUGACGUCAAGUCCUCAUGGCCCUUACGGGAUGGGCUACACACGUGCUACAAUGGCGGUGACAGUGGGACGCGAAACCGCGAGGUUGAGCAAAUCCCCAAAAGCCGUCUCAGUUCGGAUUGCACUCUGCAACUCGGGUGCAUGAAGGCGGAAUCGCUAGUAAUCGUGGAUCAGCAUGCCACGGUGAAUACGUUCCCGGGCCUUGUACACACCGCCCGUCACACCAUGGGAGUUGGUCUUACCCGACGGCGCUGCGCCAACCGCAAGGAGGCAGG